AUCCAGCUAACGAGGCCCAAAUAGGACGAAACGUGCGUCAAACUGAAU
rfam:Schistosoma curassoni strain Dakar, Senegal genome assembly, scaffold: SCTD_scaffold0002273